GGAUCCUGGGCUGUGUCCCGGCGCCCUGUGCUCCUGGGCCUGCGCUGGUGGAUUUGCGCUCCCGCCC
rnacentral:pre_miRNA from 1 species